AAAAACUCCUUAAUCCAAAUAUAUAAAAGUUAUGGAGUAGAUAUGCUCAAACAUUCCUAUGCUGAAUUCUAAAUCUUUCUCAGGCUGACAGAUCCUUCUGAGGGAACAGAAACAACGUAUCAUCCCACACAAUUCUGGGGUUACCUUCUCAUUUUGCUGAAGCUACCUCUAAAGAAGAGAAGAUCAUAGCUGACGUGUGACUGGGCUCCUGUCUAUGUGCAGGUAGACAAAAUGAAUGAAGGAGGACAAUUUGGAGAAGCACUGUUUUCAGCAAUAAUCUUACAUAUGAGAAUAAGAAGAAACAUGAAGUGACGAAACAUAUUGAACAGGGCAGAUGGUAGAUAUCCAUGAUCGGUUUCAAUGCACAUUUGUGAUUCGAGAUGAAUAGGUUACGGCAAUCACAGUGAUCCUACAGCAGGGCAGAGUAUAAAGAACAGAGAAACAAAUUAAAUAAAAAUCAAACAUAU
rnacentral:lncRNA from 1 species